UACGGAGGGUGCAAGCGUUGUUCGGAAUCAUUGGGCGUAAAGCGCGUGUAGGCGGCUUGGUAAGUCAGUUGUGAAAGCCCGGGGCCCAACCCCGGAACUGCAUCUGAAACUGCUUGGCUCGAGUCCCGGAGAGGAAGGCAGAAUUCCCGGUGUAGGGGUGAAAUCCGUAGAUAUCGGGAGGAAUACCAGCGGCGAAGGCGGCCUUCUGGACGGUGACUGACGCUGAGACGCGAAAGCGUGGGGAGCAAACAGG
rnacentral:rRNA from 1 species